CUUCAACCUGGAUCGAUUAGGCUUUCAAUCAAACUUUGAAAGGAUCCAGAACUUAGCUUAACUUAGGAGUCCGGAAACAAAUGUUUUUGAAUUAUUGGUUUACUGCAACUUCCUCUCCUUAGUCAAAGACCAUUACGAAUUUUUGGGAUCGCGUCAAAGCCCACGUUAGCGUUUUACUUACUCAGCGUCAGCCAUUGUUGUGUUUGUAAGAUUCAAAGUUGGAGUAAGCCUCCUGGGUGGUAUGUCUUUGUUCUCUCAUGUUGCAGGUUUUGCCGACUGGACGCUACAGUGACUCACUAUUACGAAACGGGACCGACCGGGCUUUCUGGUUUUAGCAAUCCUAACUUCAAAUCUGGCAACGGCGGAGAAACGUCCAUAAGGAAUCCAACGCUAGAUAAUUACUCACUGGCUGCAAUCUGCUUUUCUCUCAAUGCAAGUUUCUUUUUCAUUUGUUGUGUUAAUUAUCAGUUGUCCUUUAAAUGUGGAUGUAGGUAUAUUCUUUUAUCCAGCUCAUUAUGGUAUACCCCCCUUGAAAUAUGGUGGGGCUAAACCACCAGCUCCGUUGGCAACCAAGCAUAACAAUAACAUUUCAGAAAAGUGACUUGGGGAUAAGAAAGGAGGGGGAAAAAGGACCUACAUCAUAAUAACACAAUGCCUGUGUGGUUCGAAGCAGAACAGCAGUUUCUGUUUCUUAGAUGUUCAGAAGGGAAUAAUUAUCUCGGUGAUGAGAGAGAAUAAUGUAAUUGUAACUGUAAACGCAGUUUUUUUUUUUGUCUCAGCAAAAAAAGCGAGUCUUAGUUAUGAAGAAGGUGGUGUAUGAUUUGCCCGUGUCAGCUGGCCAUGGUGUUGAAUCCCCAGUCGGGAGCUUAGCCAUUCUCAAUUAAAUCCACAACUGAGCACUUUGAUGGUGGAGGGCUGCACUGUGAAUUAGCCUCUAUGUGAAGCUUUUGUAGCUUUGCCACUGGCUGAGUGCACUCUCGCUGACCUCCUUCUCCUCCUCAAGCAAGAGACAGAGAAAAUUGUAAUGAAAAGGCAGCGGUGUCGCAGGGGAAAAAAAAAAAAAGGGGGGGGGGUUAUUAUACAACCACUAUAAUAGAAGACAGUAAAAAGCAAAGUAAAUUAUAGGAUGUUGCAUUCUUUUAUAAAGUCAUACUGACAUGUGGGAAGUUGUCAUCAGCAGGAAGAGGUGUUUAAUUUUCAUAAUUACUAUUAUAAGGCGGCGGGGUACUCAACCUUUACAGCCUGUGUAACAGUAUUACAUUUUCUGUUUCUGCACAGUAUUUUUUUAUUUCUAAGAUGCUUUUGGAUUCCAGAUUUAUCCUCCACGUAAUCGUCUUGCCAUACUCGUGUAAGAUACCAGUGAAUAUUUUGGAUGGAUUUGUCAGGAUUCCUUGCUUAUCUUCAGUUUGUCGCUUGGGUUGUGAGUACAAAACGAUGACUCCAUAGUUUUGUUUAAUUCAAGUCGGUUUUAUCUAUGUAGCGCUAAAUCAUAACAGUGGCUAUCUCUACAUAUAGAGCAGAUCAAAACCUUGGUUCAUAAUAUAUUAGGAUUGGUAAUGCAUACACUCCAGGACUAAAGGUAUUGCUUAUUUGAAACACUAUUGAUGGAAAACUUACAGAACUGUCAGGAAAUAUUAAUAAAGUUUUUAACACUUCUUGUCAGGUUUGAGUUU
rnacentral:lncRNA from 1 species